CUCCUCUCAGGGUCGUUCCUGGAGAGUUUCCAGUAGUCUACAAGUUUCGGCUAUGGGAGGGAGAGUCAAGCAGAUGCCUACCCAUUCCAUUCCUGGCUUGUGCAGUGGCCAGCAGAUGAAAGGCAAUCUGCUACAAGA